UCAGGUCACUAGGUCAAAGGUCAAGGUCAUGGUGACCUGAAAUAGUACAAUGGUUUCCGGAUAAUAACUCAAGAACGCUAAUGGCUACGAUCAUACAACUUCAUAGGUACAUUGAUAAUGACUCGCAGAUGACCCCUACUGAUUUUGAGGUCACUAGGUCAAAGGUCAAGGUCAUGGUGACCCGAAAUAGUAAAAUGGUUUCAAGAUGAUAAUUCAAGAACGCUUCUUCCUAGGAUCAUAAAACUUGAUAGGUAGAUUGAUCAUGACUCGCAGAUGACCCCUAUUGAUUUUAAGGUCACUAGGUCAAAGGUCAAGGUCAAGGUGACUCAAAAUAGAAAAAUGGUUUCUGGAUGAUAACUCAAGAACGCUUAUGGCUAGGAUCAUGAAACUUCAUAGGUACAUUGAUCAUGACUGGCAGAUGACCCCUAGAGAUUUUCAGGUCACUAGGUCAAAGGUCAAGGUCACAGUGACAAAAACAUAUUCACACAAUGGCUGUCAUUACAACGGAGAGCCCAUAUGGGGGGCAUGCAUGUUUUACAAACAGCCCUUGUUUGAAAAUUAAUGCUUUUUAAAUCAGUUUUAAUGCCUAACAUAAAUAAGAAAUAUAGGAUCUGGCAUGAGUUGUCAUAUUAUACCAUAUUUUAUUAAACGAGUUCAGGAAUUUUGUUAGUAAGCGAGCCUUUGGUAUGGCAACAAGGUAUGGCAUGUGAUAAUAACAUUUUCGUUUAAUAUUAAGAAUUUCACAAAACUUAUAAAUCCUGUUUAGUUAAAUAACAUUAUGCAAUUAUAGUUUCAUUAUAUUCCAUCAUUUCUACUUUACUGCAGGUGCACUUUGAACAUGUCCUUGGGCCAAAAUUAUAUGGAGAUUUCAAGCAACAUAUUCAUGCUCUUUGGUGCCUUGAAAAAUUAGGUCUACGUUAAAAAUGAAACUUUCUCAGGGUUAUUGUCGGAUAACCAGGAUGUGGACAAACAAAUAUGCAGGGUCAAGGACAUAGGGUCAUGGUUAUCUCAUUCUGUAAAGGCCAGUUCACCAGGGAUAUAAGCUUCAAGGGUUGUGAUCCAGCCAAUGUGAUUCAUUUUUAGCAAUGCGUUUUGUUGUGCAAUAGUAUACUGUAUGAUGUAUAUAUUUUACUCAAUGUUUCACAGUUGCUCUAGCUGCCAAAAAUUAUAUUUUUACAUGUUAAUUUGAAUAUAAGUGUAAUAUGUUUCUUUAUUAACUACUGCAGUGAACCAUGUUAUUUGUUGUCAAUAUUACAUGUUGACAGUCUUUAUCAGAGCUUAAACCAUUCCACAUACAUGUAUGUUAGUAGCUAGCAAUUUUAAUGUAAUAGUUAGUCUAAUUUUUAUCCCCAUGCAUUUUGAAAAGCGUGGGAAUAUUGUGGUUAUCUCCGCUGUCUGUCUGUCCAUCCGUCCUGGCCACUAUCUCCUCCUACACUAUAAGCACUAGAACCUUGAAACUUACACACAUGCUAUGAGCAUAUGUGCGACCCUGCACUAUUUGGAAUUAUGAUCUGACCCCUGGGUCAAAAGUUAUGGGGGUUGGGGUGGGGCCAGGUCAGAGAUCUUCACUAAUUUUUAUGCCCUCAGUAUGGUGCAUUGGCCAUAACUUUUGCAAUAUUGAAAAUAGCAACUUGAUAUUUGGCAUGCAUGUGUAUUUCAUGGAGCUGCAUAUUUUGAGUGGUGAAAGGUCAAGGUCAUCCUUAAGGUAAAAGGUAAAAAAAAACAAAUCCAAGGGAAGUAAUAAGCUUUAAAGGGAGGUAAAUAAUGAGCCUGCUAAAUGAUAAAAUAAAUUUAAAUAAAUCAAAGGGGUGCAAGAGGGGGCAUUGUGUUUCUGACAAAAACAUCUCUUGUUUUAUGUUAUUUUAUAUUAACUUCUUCAUUUCUGCACCAAUUCACUUCCAAUUAUACUGAACAUCUCUUAUGACAAUACGGUCAAUCUCAACUAUGCAUGGACCCAUUACCAACCCUGGGGUGCCACUUGGGUCAAACAUGCGGCAUGGGGAUACGCGUCGGCCUCUGCCGUCCCAUUUCUAGUUAUAACUGGUAUGUCUUGCCUGUAAAGCAACAUAUAAACCGAGAAAAAUGGUUGAUUUGUGUGUACUUUUCCUUGAUUAUUAUGUGUAGGAUUUCAUACUGAUGUAUAGGUACAUUAUUUUAAGGUUUGAAUAAUAAUUUAGUAUUAAAAAUACUACCAUUAUAAAUAUAGUUAUGCGUCCGAUAUUACCAAUUAAUAUUGAAACUUAUAUGUAGAUUAGAAAUCUAUGUCUGUCAGUUCAUAAGCAAACAUGAUCAAAUACAAUGUAAUUUGCCUCUACCACGGUUCCUAUAGCACGUGACUUUUUCGGAUCUGUGUUGGGAGAAUAAAGCGCAAUCCAGUUAACAAUUUUAAGGAUCUCUUUUAAAAAUUUCACCAUUUUUAAUGGGAUAAAGUGGAGAGCCCGCUCAUUCACUAAAUAUUUUUAAAGACAUCAUUAAAAAUGUUAACAGGGUCGCGCUUUAUCCUCCCAACACAGAUCUAAAAAAAAGUCACAUGGUAUAAGCACUAUGUCUAAGCUGUUGAAGUUAAGCUAUUGGAUCGUAGGUCAUCAGGGGCCUGAAGACAAGCACAUUCAAUGGUCAAGAUUGGAUAUAUAUUUCAAAUCAUUUCAGUGUACAAUCUGAACUUUAACCCUUUGCAUGCUGGGUAAUUUGUCUUCUGCUAAAAUGUCGUCUGCUGAAUUUCUAAAAAUAGCAUUUUCUUCGAUUUUUUUCAAAGAAUACUAUCAUAAUAGCAAACAGUUUGGAUCCUGAUGAGACGCCACGUUCUGUGGCGUCUCAUCGGGAUCCAAACUGUUUGCAAAGGCCUUUUAAAUUCGGUUCCCGCACGGAAAGGGUUAAUAACCAGUAGUCUUUUAUUGCACUUGAAACAUUUGUGCUUUGCCUUACUUUCAAUGUUUUUGUUUUAUACUAGGCACACAUAAUUAUGUUAAAAAAUCUUAACUUGUCUAUAUUCACUCAGGUUAUAUUUUAUGACAUAGAUACCAUAGAAAGUAUUUAGUCAAUAGUAUUAUUGUAUGCAUUUCAAGUUCUAUUUAAGAUAUACAUUUAAUUGUUGAUGCCCACUCAUGCCUCAAUAGUGCUUAAGCUAUUAACAGUUUCUGGUUGAGCUGCUUUUACAAAAUAUUUUAAAUAAUCUUCAUAUGAGCCGCACAUGGGAAAAGGUGGCUUAAUGCAUUUGUGUGAAGUGUCUACCCAGAUUAGCAUGUGCCAUCUGCACAGGCUUAUCAGGGACAAAAUGUCUGCCUAGUCUGGAUUUUAGUUUAAAUCUUUAAAUCUUCCUUUAAAAGAGAUAUUCCAAAAAGUGGAAAGUGUCAUCCCUGAUUAGCCUGAGAUGGUUUUAAAGGAAACGGCAAAAUACAUUCUGAUACACAAAUAUGAACACAAUUUAAAAAGUUUUGUUUGUGAGUUCACACUUGCAACACUUCAAACUUAAUUAAACUGAUUAUGUUUGGCUGAAAAGUAACAGAUGCAUUAUGUUGAACAGUAAAAUGCUACACCGCGUGAUAUUUAGAUAGACAUGUUCUCAGUGUAAAUUUUUGUUUGGUAAACAUAGAUAAUAGAGAUCUGAAUUAGUAGUUGUCCUAUAUUAAAUAUAUUGUAAAAUUUGUUGUCCCCUACCGGUUUAACCGGAGGGGACUUAUGGUUUGCGCUGUGUGUCCGUCAGUCCAUCAGUCUGUGAGUCUGUCACACUUUUCUGGAUCCUGCAAUAAUUUUAAAAGUUCUUAAUAUUUUUUUCAUGAAACUUGAAACAUGGAUAGAUGGCAAUAUGGACAUUAUGCACGUCAUUUAAUUUUGUUACUACGUCAAAAAUUCUGGUUGCUAUGGCAACACAUAAAAAAUAUAUAUUUCUGACAAUGGUGGAGCCGGUAGGGGACAUAUAUUGCUUGGCAAUAGUCUUGUUCAUCUUUGAGCUGUGUGUGAGAUUUUGUAUUAUUCAUAUAAUGCAAUGAAUGUUGAAAUGUCUGCAUGAUUAAGUUUAAUCUUACUGCAUUUACCUGGUCCCAGUACUAUAGGCUUCAAGAACAAAGCAAAUCUCAUAUUAUUUAACCAAUUAAACUUAGCAUCAACUCAAAUGUUGGGCAAUGAAAAUGCACUACAUGUAAGUUUGCAGCAUUUGUUUGAAUUGGUUAAAUAUAUGAGAUUAAGUAUAUGAUUUAAUCAUGAAUGUUUGUUUUUGUUGAGCUUGGUUUAUAUUUAUUAACCUCUCAAUAAGAAUAAAAAUUCUACGAAUUAUCAAAGAAUUCAUUUUUUAGCAUAUCUGUCUUUUAAAUGUAAUACACUUUUCUUCAAAUACCUAUCAUGUUCACAUUUAUUUGCAAUAUUAUCAAAUCAUUCCACUUGGAUAUCACAUGUUUAAAAUUUAACUUAUUUCAUAUUUAGACAUCCUUCUAAAUGUAUUUGUGUGGGAUUGCCACCCAAUCUUAUUAAAUCGUCCAGAUUGAAAAGUUUUGUGUUUGUUUUGUAAUUUUGUUAUACCAAACUUGUUUAAGUUUUUUUGUUAAGAUUUUUUUCCCCCAGUAGGGUAGCAUAUAGCAGUUGAACUGUCCGUAAGUCAGUCAGUCUGUCCAUCCAUCCGAAAAAAACCUAACGUUGGCCAUAACUUUUGCAAUAUUGAAGAUAGCAACUUGAUAUUUGGCAUGCAUGUGUAUCUCAUAAAGCUGCACAUUUUGAGUGGUGAAAGUUCAAGGCCAAGGUCAUCCUUCAAGGUCAAAGGUAAAAAAAAAAGUCUUUCAAAGUGGCGCAGUAGGGGGCAUUGUGUUUCCGAUGAACACAUCUCUUGUUCAUUUUUUUUUUGUGGAAAUAGAAACCUCUCCAAGUAUUUUUCUUUUCUUUUUUAUUUUAGAUUUUUUGUCCACAAAAUUAUCUUCACCUAGAUAUAUUUAUGCCCCCGGUAGGGUGGCAUAUAGCAGUUGAACUGUACAUCAGUCAGUCAGUGUGUCAGUCUGUCGGUCCGUCCGAAAACUUUAAUGGCCAUAACUUUUUCAUUAUUGAACAUAGCAACUUGAUAUUUGGCAAACAUGUGCAUCUCAUGGAGCUGCACAUUUUGAGUGGUGAAAGGUCAAGGUCAUCCUUCAAGGUCAAAUGUCAAAUAUAUGGCGUCUGUCCGUCUGUCUGAAAACUUUAACAUUGGCCACAACUUUUUAAAUAUUCAUGAUAGCAACUUGAUAUUUGGCAUGCAUAUGUAUCUCAUGGAGCUGAACAUUUUGAGUGGUGAAUGGUGAAGGUCAAGGUCAUCCUUCAAGGUCAAAUGUCAAAUAUAUGGCGUCUGUCCACCCGUCCAAAAACGUUAACAUUGCCCAACACUUUUUCAAUAUUGAAGAUAGCAACUUGAUAUUUGGCAUGCAUGUGUAUCUCAUGGAGCUGCACAUUUUGAAAGGUUAAAGGUCAAGGUCGUCCUUCAAGGUCAAAGAUCAAAUCAAACUUUAACUUUCGCCAUAACUUUUUUAUGCCCCUGAAGAGUGUCAUAUAAUUUUUGUACUGUCCAUCUGUCUGUUUGUUUGUCCGUCCGCCCGUCCAAAAACUUUAACAUUGCCCAUAACUUUUGCAAUAUUGAAGAUAGCAACUUGAUAUUUGCCAUGCAUGUGUAUCUCAUGGCGCUGCACAUUUUGAGUGGUGAAAGGUUAAGGUCAAGUUGAAAGGUCAAAUUUUGCAAUAUUGAAGAUAGUAACUUGAUAUUUGGCAUGCAUGUGUAUCUCAUGGAGCUGCACAUUUUGAGUGGUGAAAGGUCAAGGUUAUCCUUCAAGGUCAAAGGUCAAAUUUUGCAAUAUUAAAGAUAGCAACUCGAUAUUUGGCAUGCAUGCAUAUCUCAUGGAACUGCACAUUUUGAGUGGUGAAAGGUAAAGGUCAUCCUUCAAGGUCAAAGGUCAAAUUUUGCAAUAUUGAAGAUAGCAACUCAAUAUUUGGCAUGCAUGCGUAUCUCAUGGAGCUGCACAUUUUGAGUAGUGAAAGGUCAAGGUCAUCCUUCAAGGUCAAAGGUAAAAUAUAUGGCUUCAAAGCAACACAGUAGGGGGCAUUGUGGUUCACAAACACAGCUCUUGUAUAUAUAUUUAUAUAUUGGCCCAAUACGCCAUUUGGAAAUGCUUGCAUCUUUGUGUCUUACACGAUCCUCUUCAAAAAAGCAGACAUACAUUACUGCAAUCUGUAAAAUAUCAUUGAAAACAUAAUAGCUAUAAUGUUGUGAAUAAUAGAAUCUACAGUUUUUACCUCUAAGUAUAGUGGCUGGAUUAUUUUUGAUAAUGAGUUGUUUGCUGAUUUAAAUAGGACUGACACAGUGUUACUGUACUUGUUUAGUAAAAUAAUAAUAUAUCAAAUGCAAUCUUUUUGUUAUAUGUUAUAUUUUAAUCUUUAUUUAAUCAUUGAUAAGUUUGCAUUUCCUACCCUACUAAAAGAAAUUAUUUUGGUACCCAUCUCCAGCACCAUGGGUAGGAAAAGGCAAACACAUUAUUGUAUAUGGUGAUUAAAAGAAUAUAUGCAGAUUGUAGAAUGUUUGUUUUAUUUAUCAGAGCAUGUGAUAAUGUGGGAUAAUUGAAUAUGUAAAAUAAAUCAUUAAAACAUGA